rnacentral:rRNA from 1 species
ACACACUAGCACGUCAGGUCAAGGUGUAGCUCAUGAGAUGGAUAGCGCGGACCACAAUACCACAACGCACAAAAAUCUURUUGAAACAUAAGAUGGAAGACGAAUUUAGCAGUAAGCGAAUAGAAU